UACAGGGGGGGCAAGCGUUGUUCGGAAUUACUGGGCGUAAAGGGCCAGUAGGCGGCCAACUAAGUCACACGUGAAAUCCCCAGCUUAACCUGGGAACUGCGUGUGAUACUGGAUGGCUUGAAUUCGGGAGAGGGAUGCAGAAUCCAGGUGUAGCGGUGAAAUGCGUAGAUAUCUGGAGGAAUACCGGUGGCGAAGGCGGCAUCCUGGACCGACAUUGACGCUGAACGGCGAAAGCUAGGGGAGCGAAACGGG
rnacentral:rRNA from 1 species